rnacentral:rRNA from 1 species
GGAGGAUCCAAGCGUUAUCCGGAAUCAUUGGGUUUAAAGGGUCCGUAGGCGGUUUGGUAAGUCAGUGGUGAAAGCCCAUCGCUCAACGGUGGAACGGCCAUUGAUACUGCCAGACUUGAAUUAUUAGGAAGUAACUAGAAUAUGUAGUGUAGCGGUGAAAUGCUUAGAGAUUACAUGGAAUACCAAUUGCGAAGGCAGGUUACUACUAAUGGAUUGACGCUGAUGGACGAAAGCGUGGGUAGCGAACAGGAUUAGAUACCCUGGUAGUCCACGCCGUAAACGAUGGAUACUAGCUGUUGGGAGCAAUCUCAGUGGCUAAGCGAAAGUGAUAAGUAUCCCACCUGGGGAGUACGUUCGCAAGAAUG